UACGUAGGGUGCGAGCGUUAAUCGGAAUUACUGGGCGUAAAGCGUGCGCAGGCGGUUCGUUAUGUCCGAUGUGAAAGCCCCGAGCUCAACUUGGGGAAUGGCAUUGGAAACUGGCGGGCUGGAGUGUGGCAGAGGGGGGUGGAAUUCCACGUGUAGCAGUGAAAUGCGUAGAGAUGUGGAGGAACACCGAUGGCGAAGGCAGCCCCCUGGGCCAACACUGACGCUCAGGCACGAAAGCGUGGGGAGCAAACAGG
rnacentral:rRNA from 1 species